GGAAUAUGCACAGUGGAACUGGUGUUCAAGAGAGAAAAAGAAGGGCCAGCUUGCAGUGGAUUUAAAAGUGGAUAGGAACACAAAAAUAAUUUCAAAAUAGAUGAAAGACCUAAAUGUGAGACAGGAAACCAUCAAAAUCCUAGAGGAGAAAAUAGGCAACAACGUCUUUGACCUUGACCGCAGUAACUUCUUACAUGACAUGUCUCUUCAAAGGCAGGGGAAACAAAAGCAAAAAUGACUAUUGGGACCUCAUCAAGAUAAAACCUUCUGCACAGUGAUGGAAAUAAUCAACAAAACCAAAAGGCAACCAAUGGGAUGGGAGAAGAUGACAUAUUGGAUAAAGGGUUAGUAUCCAAAAUCUAUAAAGAAUGUAUCAAACUCAACACCCAAAAAGCCCAAAUAAUCCAGUGACGAAAUGGCCAGAAGACAUGAAUAGACACAUUUCCAAAGAAGGUAUCCAUAUGUCUAACAGACACAUGCUAAGCUGCUCAAUAUCACUCAUCAUCAGAGAAAUACAAAUCAAAACCACAAUGAGAUAUAAUGUCACACCUGUCAGAAUGGCUAAAAUCAACAACUCAGGAAACAGAGUUGGGGAGAAUGGGGAGAAAGGGGAGCCUCUUGCACUGUUGAUGGGGAUGCUAACUGGUGCAACCACUUUGGAAAACAGUGUGGAGUUUCCUCAAAAAAUUAAAACUAGAACUACCCUACAGCCCAGCAAUUACACUACUAGGUAUUUAUCCAAAGGAUACAAAAAUGCUGAUUUGAAGGGGCACAUGCACCCCAGUGUUUAUAGCAGUGCCAUCAACAAUAACCAAAUUAUGGGAAGGGUCCAAAUGUCCAUCAACUGAUGAGUAGAUUAAGAAGGUGCGGUAUAAUAUACAAUGGAAUACUACUUGGCAAUCAAAAAAAUAUGAAAUCUUGUCAUUUGCAACAAAGUGGAUGGAGUUAGAGUGUAUUAUGCUAAGCAAAAUAAGUCAGGCAGAGAAAGACAAAUAUCAUAUGAUUUCACUCAUAUGUGGAAUUUAAGAAACACAACAGAUGAACAUCAGGGAAGGGAAGGAAAAAUAAAAUAAAAACAGAGAGGGAGGCAAACCAUAAGAUACUCUUAAAUCCAGAACAAAGUGAGGGUUGCUGGAGAGGAAGUGGGUGGAGGGAUGGGUUAAAUGGGUAAUGGUCAUUAAGGAGGGCACUUGUUGGAAUGAGCAUUGAGUAUUAUAUGUAAGUGAUGAAUCACUAAAUUCUACUCCUGAAACCAAUACUACACUGUAUGUUCACUAACUUGAAUUUAAGAAAAUAAAUUUAAAAAAAUGAAUGAGGGAUGAGAAAAUGGAGCCAGAGAAAGAAAGAAAAAUUCUUGAGAAAAUUAGAUGAAAGAAAGAAAGAAAAGAAAGAAAAAUAGAUAAAAGACAAAGGAAGAUUCAGGAACAGGAUUUAAUUUUUCAUUAUUUUUUUGUUGGUCCUCGUCUUCAAAAAAAAAUGUGAUUUCUUUUGGGUGCAUAAGACUGAUGAGGGUUCUGUGCCACAGGAGGAAGGGAAAGGUUGUACCUUAAACAGGAGGUUAUUGAUGAAGCAAGAUUUCAGGAGAGACUUAACCAGACGUUGGAGGAAAUGGUUGUAAUUUUCCAUUUUAGCGGCAGCUGGAAGGACCUUCAUAGUCACCUUCAUUUUGGAUUUUGGAAAGACCUGGCUCGAGAUUCCUCUUGUCUCUCUGGACUUUUCCGUGGGUUUCUAUGCCCGGUUUCCAUCAGCUGCUGCAGCUCAGGAUGUAUGCUGGCUGGAGUAGGGAAGAAAGGAAAUUGAGGAAGACUUUGGUGAAAGGGAUCCAGCAUCUGCUUGCCUCUGGGAGCUGACUCAGAUGCUCAGCAUCUCCCCACACCCAGCUUGUUGUGCUCGGGUUUUGUGCUUUCCUGUGGAGUCCUCUUUAUUUUUCCCCCUGAAUCAGAGUGGGUUGGGAAAUAUAAACACAGGAAUCAUGACAAACUUGUCCAUGUGGGAAAGAAAAGAUGUCACUGCAGUUUUAGUGGAGCGUCUGGGUAGCAGUUACAGCAGAGAAAGAACGAGAAGGCUUCAUUAGGACAAAAACCUUUACUUCUUUUUUUCUUUUUUUCAGUAAACAAAUGUUCUUUGGUCUUAGGUGGAAAUUCAGAGAUGAAAAGGCCAAGUUUCCUGUCCUCAAGAAAUUGCUGGUGUGAUCAGGUCGAGUUGUAAAAAUAUGAUCCACCAAGAACCAAGAUGCCCUGGAGGGGAAGCCAAUUUGCAGGUAAGUUAUGUGCAUCCCCUCCCACCCCAGCUUGAGAACUGGGGAUCCGGGGACAAAUGACGAGAGAAGUCUGUUUGGCGGAAGGAAGUUUCAGCACGCAUAGAGUGGGGUGACUGAUUUUUCGACAGCAGCUGAAAUAAAAAGAAUAGAAGAAAAAAAGCAGAAGUGAAAAAGACUCUUACUUCUUCAUUCAAUAUUUAUGGGCCUCCUACUAUGGGCCAGGCAUGGGUGAAAAGCUUUGCAUGACAUGUAUGGGGAGGGAGUGAUAUCUCCCUUGUGCAAACUCAGAAAAAUCUCGCAGUAUCUGGCCCACUGAUCCUCAUCCUGGGAUCCCUAGACCUCCAGAAGUCCAAGAAGGGAGUCGUGAUGGAUCCGUGGUUAUUUUAAAUGUCUAAACCUGAACUGAAGGUAUUUCAGUAUGACCGAGUAUGGAGGGGAGGGUGGGAGUGGCUGUUACAAGAUGUGAAAGAGGCCAUUCCCCUUCUGAAGAAUGAAAUACUUCCAGUUCUCCAAGAUGUCACGCUCUGGGUGUGUGACACGCAUUACAUCCCUUGUGCCUUCUUCCUAGGCAAUUCUGAGUCCUUUAAGACUUGGAGCAGGUGCCAUGUUAUCAGGCCCGGGCAAGAUCAUGUUUCUCUUCCAUAUCCCAUACACCUAGCGUUUUCCCUGUCAAAACCUUGAUCGCUCCCAGUAUAUCGGAACUGUUCCCAUUGGUGUUCCCCAUAAGACUGCAAGACCCCCAGCCAUGGGAUUAUCUGUGACUCAUGGCCCAAACUCCAGCAUCCAGCAUAUGUUCCACCUAACAUAAUGCCCAGCUCAUGGAGGUGCUUUAUAAACACGUGUUUCAUGAAGUUAUAAGCCAGAGAAAGAGCAAGAGGGUUUCAUCUGCCUAAAAAUUUUACUUCUGCCUUUUUCCUUUCUUUUAGUUUCCUUUCAGCUGCUGUAAAAGACCCAGCCACCUCACCUCACACUUUGUGUGUUCAAACUUCGUUUUCCAGCACAUACUUCUCCUUCAGUUUUGUCUUAGAACCCUUAGUUCUCAGAGCUGGGGGACCAUGUAAUUCAUCCUGCAAAAUAUCUUCCUCUUCAGAAGAACUUGGCCUGACACUGCACGGGGCAGUGGAAAGAGUGCCAGCCAGAGGACCCAAGAGUUGCUUUCUGGAUCUGGCUCUGCCACUGAUUCAUUCAGUGGCCUCUACUACUUACUUGCCUUCUUGGAGCUUUACCUCUUUUGUAAAAAGAAGGAGUGAGCGGGGAUUGGAUACCAGGUGGGAAGUAGCAUAGUAUGGGGAAACAGACAGGAACAUUGUGGAAUCACAUACAUCUGGGGUAGGAUCCCCCUACCCCACGUGUCCUCUUUGUCGGUAACUUUCCUGAAUCAACGCCUCCUGUGUGAAAAGGGAAUGAGGAUCCCUGGCUCUUUAAGCCAUCGUGAGACUAUGCGGGCAAAUGUACAAAGUGCCUGUCAUAUGGUAGCUAAUGAACAAAUCACAUUAAGCUUCUUCACCUCCAGGGGUCUUCCCAUUUUCAUAUUUUCGUAUUCUAGAUUUAUAUACACAAUCAAUCUCAGUCAACAUUUUGCCUCCCCUCAUAUAGUUAUGAAAAUACUUUAUCCGUUUAACCUUUUCUUAUUCGUUCACUUAAAAAUACUUAUUCCAGGGAUGCCUGGGUAGCUCAGUCAUUUGAGUGCGGGACACUUGAUUUUGGCUCAGGUCAUGAUCCCCGGGUCGUGAGAUUAAGCCCCAUGUUGGGCUCUGCCCAGAGUGUGGAGCCUGCUUAAGAUUCUCUCUCUUUCCGCUACUCAAGUGUGCACAUGCACAUGCAUUCUCUGUCUCAUCUCUCAAACCAGGAAACUCUUAACUAUAGAGAAAAAGCUGAAGGUUCCUGGAGGGGAUGUGUGGGUGGGGAUGGGUAUGAUAGGAGAUGGGGAUUACGGAGUGCACUUGUUGUGAUGAGUACCGGGUGUUGUACGAAAUUGUAGAAUCACUAUAUUAUACACCUGAAGCUAAUGUAACACUGUAUGUUAACGAACUGGAGUUUAAAUAAAAACUGGAGGAGAAAAAAUUUAAAAAGAUAAAAAUACUCCAUUUAUUCAUUCAAUAUUUUAAUAACUCACUUGGGAAAAAAAAAUCCUACCUCUGCUCUCUAAGUAUUGGCUAAGUGAUCCUAGAGUAGUGGUCCUCAAAAUUUUUGGUCUCAAGAACCCAUUACACUAUAGAAAAUUGUCAAGGAACCCCAAGAACUUUUGUUUACAUAGGAUGUAUUUAUUGAGAUUAGACAUUAGAACUGAGUGGGGUGCCUGGAAGGCCCAGUAAGUUAAGUGUCUGACUUCCCCUCAAGUCAUGAUCUUGUGGUUCAUGAGUUCGAGCCCUUGCUGACAGCUCAGAACCUGGAGCCUGCUUCGGAUUCUGUGUCUCCCUCCUCUCUGCCCCACCCCUGCUUGUGUGUGCACUCACUCUCUCUCAAAAAUAAACAUCUAAAAAAGAGAAAUUAGAACUGGGUAAUUAUGAGACGAUUUAUUAAUUUAUUUUAAAAUGACAGUAUUCCAUUUCAUGUUUAUAGAAAUGGCAUUUUAAUGAAGAAUAAUUAUAUUUUAUAAAAUAAAAAUAAUUAGUCAAAAGGGUGGCAUUGUUUUAUAUUUUUCAAAUCUCAUUAAUAUCUUUUUUUAAUAUGAAAUUUAUUGUCAGAUUGGUUUCCAUACAACAGCCAGUGCUCAUCCCAACAGGUGCCCUCCUCAAUGCCCAUCACCCACCCUCCCUUCCCUCCCACUCCCCAUCCACCCUCAGUUUAUUCUCAGUUUUUAAGAGCCUCUUAUGGUUUGGCUCUCCCCUUUCUAACUUUUUUUCAUUAAUAUCUUAUUUAAUAGAAGACUGGAUUCUCACAUCUGCUCUGAAGUCAGAUUCUGUGCAGUGUAAUGUUUUGUCAAAGUCUGUGCAGAGAACCCGGUCUCACACAGAUAGGUAAAGUAUAGGAGUCAUUUUAAUAAUCUUAUCAGACAAUUGUGGAUGUUCUUCUUUGAUACUACACCAAAACUUGACAAGUGAUAAUUUCUUAAAUGUUAGUUACAGUGUGAAAUCUGAAACCAUAUCAGUGAGCUUUUCACAUUCUACUGCACUGAAAUCCACUGGUCUACCUUUCCUUUGAGUGGAUUUUUUUUCUUUUUUUACCCACGCAUAACAUUUUAACAUCAUGCACUGGUCAUAUGGAAAAUAUCAAUUCACUGAAUUAUGCAGAUCUUCAGAAUGUUGACUCAUUUCAUUAUACAAUACAAAAAAUCACAUUCCUUAUUAUCACCACCAAUCUCAUCAGAAUGUGAGUAUUAGAAUGUUGUCAAGCUCGUGAAUGGCAGAUACACAUUUUCCAAAAUUUAAAUUCUUGCUUGAAAGCUUGAGUUUAACCAUUGGCAACAAAUGCCAUGAGUUGUUUUUCUGGAAAUGGCAGGCUCUUUUUAUUCAAUUUUAAGAAAAUGUAUGACAUAUGCCCAUGUCUAAAUAGCCAUAGUUUGUCAGUCUCUCUUACAAGUAAUACAAAUAUUUUUUAUUGCUCCCUCUUAAAGCAUGUUUGAGUGCAACUGAGUUUUAUUUUUAUCUUUUAACUGUGAGUGCACGGUGUUAAAGAAUACAACUAUUAAUACAGUUUGGUGCCACUGCCUUGACUCGUGCUAAAGCAUCAGCUGUUUACUCACGAUGGCUUCUCGCCAUCAGUCAACACAGUGUCAGCACAAAUGUCAACACAGUAAAAGAAGCAAUACUUCUUUCUAUUAUUAUGAAAAUAGUUUUUACCUCAGAGACCCCCUGAAAGAAUCUUGGGUAUUCCCAGGGUCCAUAGACCACAUUUGGGAAACAUUGCUAGUAUUUUUUUAUUUUAAAAGGUGAGCUAGCCUCAAAUGUGGACUAGACAUCAAGCAUAAUUUGAAAGCAUUUCUCACUUUUCUUUGAUAAUGACCAUGGCUUCUUUUCCAGAUGACAUCUGCCUAGUAUGUAAUUGGUGACUACAUCCAAGUAAACAUGUGGAAAAUGAGAGCAAGUGGGUGUGUGGGCUCAGAGGGAAUUGCUUGUUUGGAGGAUGAUGGGAGAGCACAGUUCUGGAAGGAGUUCAGUUCUAUGAGUGUAUAUUUCUGGUCUUCAAAAGAUUACCACAUACAUGCUGUCAUACAAUUUAUAAUGUGCCUGAGGGAGGUAGCUUAAUGUAGAGAAGGAACAUGGGCUUUGCACUCAGCCAGUCUUGGGUUCCUAUACCAGCUCUGUUGCUACUGUCUAUGUGAUCUCUACCAAUUAACUUUACCCUGCUAAGCCUUGAUUAUCCCAUCUGGAAAAUGAAAUUACUGCUUAGAAUAGUGUGAUGUUAGGCAUUUAAAGGAUGGGACAUUGAGUGGAUGCUCUGAUGUACCAUACUGACCCCCCUUCAGGAAUACACUUGUUACUGCAGGGAGUGCUGCUGAAGACAGCCCUCAGUGUCAGUCUUGGUGAAAAAAGAAAACUGCUUUGCCCAAUGUCACAACACCUCUUAACGGGCAGCCUGCUUCCAAUGACUGAUCAAUAGCCUGGCUACCUCAUCUCAACUUGGUACAUUUCUGAAAGGCCAUCUCAGCUCCAGUACUCCUCAUGGGGUCAGCUGAUGUCUUUGUUGGACUGUAUUAGAGCUCAGUUUCUCACUCUGCCCAACCCUGUGUCCCUCCCCUUCCCUUCCACAGGUGUCAUCCUAAGUCUCCUGAAUAGAGUCCUGUAUGCUAAUCUUCAAUUCAGAUUCUGGUUUCUGGUGAGCGCCACCUGAUGCCGAUGUUCUAUUAAUGUUGUAAUUAUUAUUCAUGAUCCUCCACUCCCUAUGAUGGUGUGUGGGCUCUGGUAGCUAGGGACCCUUUGUGUGCUGAUCCCUGGUGGUUGUAAGAGGAGGGUUUUGAAACUGGAGCCAGGAGAAGGCUGAAUUCAUCUUCACCAAUUAGGAGGGAGUGAAUAUAGUUUGUGGGAAGGAAGAAAUGGAGUUGUAAUGGGAGGAGAGAUGGGGAGGCUGGGAGAGAAAAAGACAACAAGAACCACCCCCCCUUGGAAUAAGACUAAGAGGAGACUGGGGGGGUUGGACAUGUCUGGUGAGGAUUUUUAUAUAAUAGAUUCUGGAACCACCAUGUUUGGGUACAAGUCCCUGCUCUGACAUUUACUUUCUCUUUGAGCAAGUUGUGUUAUACCUUUAUGCCUCAUUUUUCUCAUCUGUAAAGUAAGAAUAUUAAGAAUACCUACUUCAAAGAGUUGUUUUGAAGAUUCAGUGAGCUCAUUGGAAAUAAAAAAUGAGAACUAAUUUUUUCCAUAUUUUUAUCACUAUCCAAUGGGAACUUAGAGAAGCAUGCAAAAUUACAGUAAUAAUGAUGUAGAUGUACAUAACCUCAAUAGUUUCAUUGAAGACAGAGUCUCUAAGACUGUGUAGGAGAAAGAAGUGAAGUCUUUGCAGAAGAAGGAACAUUUGAGAGAUGGUAGAAUCAGUAGAAGCUUGCCAAAGAAGACAAGUAUGGCAGGGCAGACAGGAUAACACCUGCAAAGGCUUAGAGGUAUGAUAAUUCUGGAGACCAUGGGGAUUUCUACUGUUACUGAUUUGCUCUGAUGGAAAGCUACAGUCUGCAGGAGGAAGUGAGUGGCUGGAGAUGACAUGGAGAAUUGUGCAGCCCCCAACCAGCUCCACUGGAUCCUAUAUGUCAGCUGGGAUUUCAUCCUGUGGGUGCAAAGUAGCACAAUUACAAAUAUAUUUGAGCAAGAAUGUUUUACUAAAGUAUUGUUUGUAACAGCCAAAGACUAAGUGUAAAUUUAGUAUUUUUAAGUAUGGGAUUGAUUACAUUUAAUUAUGGGAAUUUAAAUGGAAUACUAUGCGAUCAUGAGAAAGAAUGAAGCAGAAAGAUAUAUGUGCAGACAUGGGACAGUCUCCCCUUUCUACUUACAGGAGACCAAAGGAUGAUGUAGAGCACAGCAUAGAGUGUCCGUUCAUCUGUAUAAACACAUGGUGUACAUGGAAUGUCUUUGGCAGAAUACUCAGAAAUCAGUAACAGUAAUUGCCUUUGGAGAUGGGAACAUGCUGAAUGGUCUGGAGUGGAAGAAUAUUAUGGAAUGAAUGCUUGUGUACCCCCAAAGUUCUUAUGUUGAAGUCCUAACCCCAAAGUGGCUAUAUUUAGAAGUGGGACCUCCAAAGAAGAAAUGAAGGUUAAAUGAGCUCAUAAAGAUAAGAUCCUUAUCCAAUAGGAUUAAGGUCCUUUUAAGACGAGACAUCAGAGAACUCUCUCUCACUCCGCCCAGGCACCGAGAAAAGGCUCUGUGAGGGCAUAAUGAGAAGGCGGCUAUCUAGAAGCCAGGGGGAGAGCUCUCACCAGAAACCGAAUUGGCAGGAACCUUGAUAUUGGACUUCUAUCUUCCAAGACUGUGAGAAAAUAGAUUUCUGUUGUUUAGGCCACCCGAUCUGUGGUAUCUUGUUAUGGCAGCCAAAGCAGACUAAUGGAAAGAGAGACUUACUUUUAAUUGUAAUUCUUUCCUUUAUAUUAUAGAUAGUUUUAAAUUAUUUGUGUUCCCAGGUUUCACCAGCUUAUGAAAGAGCCACUAAAUUGAGAGAGUAGGAAGCACCUACCCUUUCCUUCACGAGAAUUUCAAAGGUCCCAGUUCUCUCCUUUCAAGCCUCUUCCCCUGUCUUGACAGUGGGCUGGAGGUCAUGUCUUCCCCAGAGUACUGCUGUUGCAGACAUCUCUCUGAUGCCUACAAGACUCCAGAAGUAGAUGCUGCUGUUCCUUCAUAAUUUGAUCUUGGGCAUCAGUGUUGCCCCGUUUGCCUUAGCUUCGCCCCAGGUUGGCCUGGGUAGCACAGGAGCAGCAGCAAAACAGUAAAGAGUACUGAUUUCAGAGUUAGCCAAGCUCAUGAUUGAGACCUUGGCUCUGAACCUUAUUAGUGGACUUGCAUAGCCAUCUAUGAAACUUCUCUGAGCCUCUGUUUUUUCAUUUGAAAAAGGAGAGACCCAUUAUGAAGAUUAGUAAUGAAGCAUAGAGUGUGCCCAGCACCUAGUAGACACCCAUUGUGGCAGCUGUUAUUACAAAUGUCAGGGUUAUUUUUCUUGUCUCCUUUGCAGCUCUUGAAAGUGACUUUGCCAACCCAAGAAACACCAAUGUUCAUUCUGUCCCUGAUUAGUAGGAUUGCUUCCUUGCUUCCCCUGUAUCCAGACUAUAACUUCUUACUCUUCCUGUUUUGUUAUGGCUUCUAAUUUUGAGGAAUUUGGGGUACAUUUUUUCUGGGCUGGUUGGAGGACAUUUAUAUAGGAGUACCAGUAGCCACAGAUAACUUUUUGCUGACCGUAACCACCAGACACUGAUUUUCUUUUAACUUACAGUUAUGUCCUGUUCAACCUGCAGUUUGGGGGCAACCUUUGAAUGGACUACCUUUGAGAACUUAAUACUCACUAACUUGGAGGAAGCAUAUUCCACAAUUUUUUACUUGUCUCUCAGGCAGAUAGUUUAACGAAAUAAGAAGAAUGUUGGCUUUGAGGUCAAAUGUUCCUGCAUUGAUCUUGAUUUUGUCUCUGCUAGUUGGGUGAACUUGGGCAAGUUAUUUAUCUGGUUCUGUCAUCUGUCCAAUGGAGGUAGUUCCUCUCUCGCAGAGUGGUUGGGAGAACUCAAUGAAUUAUUAAAUGUCAAGUAUACUUAUACAAUGCUUAAUAUGUAUUAUAGAACUAGUAAAUGUUAGUUCCCCUUUUAUCUACUUGCAAAUAAGAACACUGUUGGCUUUCAGAGGUGUGCUAGAACAUCUAAGUCAGCAUGGGGAUUGAAGUUGGUCUCCUCCACCUCCAAAUUAAAAUUAAGUUGGGUACAGAUUCUUUAAAAUUUUUUUAAAAAUUUUUAUUAUUUUUUUAAUAUAAUUUAUCGUCAGAUUGGCUUCCAUACAACACCCAGUGCUCGUCCCAACAAGUGCCCUCCUCAAUGCCCAUCCCCCACUUUCCCCUCUCCCCCACCUCCCAUCAACCCUCAGUUUGUUCUGUGUAGUUAAGAGUCUCUUAUGAUUUGCCUCCCUCCCUCUGUUUGUAACUUUUUUCCCCCUUCUCUUCCCCCAUGGUCUUCUGUUAAGUUUCUCAAGAUCCACAUAUGAGUGAAAACACAUGGUAUGUGUCUUUCUCUGACUGACUUAUUUCAGUUAACAUAAUACCUUCCAGUUCCAUCCACGUUGCUUUAAAUCGCAGGAUUUCAUUCUUUCUCAUUGCCAAGUAGUAUUCCAUUGUAUGGAAAGAGCCUAAAUGUCCAUCAUCUGAUGAAUGGAUAAAGAAGAUGUGGUUUAUAUAUACAAUGGGUGCAGAUUCUUAAAUGUACCCAGUUCACACUGUAGAUUAGAGAGCCACAGCUCAUUUUAAGUGAUAAACAGUAAGCCUUUGGAGUCAAUUGUGUGAAUAGCUUUCAACAAUUUUACAAGGGUAUCUGUUAAGAAAUUCUAAACAGGAAUUGUACGCACAUCUUUAAAAUUAUCCAUUCGCUCUGCCUCUUCAAUGAUUUAGAAAUAUUUUAUUUUGUAUUGACAUAUUUUUGUAAGCUAUCCCAAAUUCGUUGUGGCAAGAGUAGCAGUAUAGAACACAUAAACCAAACAAUGAAAUGAAGUACAAUAAAUGAAAGAGCCAAAGAAAGGAUUUGUCCAGGGCAACUUUCUGCCUCGAUGUGUGUUUUGCAUCUUAAUUAUCCUGAAAGCUUUGAGAGAAACAUGCCAUUUUAAUGACCAAACACUACUUGACCUUUCUUUUUUUUUUUUUUCUACCCACAAAGAAAACAUCUAAAGAACAAAACUUUCUGAUAUGGAACAAAUUCUUAUUUUUCUCUGGCACAUCAUUUAUGGUCUUGUCAAAGACAGAGGAAGAAAGGCUUGCUGAGGGUCAUGGGAGCGUGUGGUGCUUGAGAGGCACCUGGCAUUCCUGGCUCUGUCUCCUACUGUGGCAUAGAGCUGUGUGGAGAGCUGGACGUUUUCAAUCACACACUCGCUUAGUCUGUAACAUUAACCCUAUGAGCCUUCUCCACUCCUCCCAUAAUAUUUGCUGUGUAUCUCCUUCCCCAACCCUGGGCUGAUAGAACAAACUAGUAGAAUCAGUUGACACAACCUCUAUCAGAAGCAACGGAGCUCGUCUUAUCCAGAGCCAAUAACAUACAACAUACAAGAUGGCUGAACUCCAAGGUUGCUGCACAUUAACAUACAAGAGGGAAAUUAUCAGUGGAGAAAUACAAUCAAGCCAUGUGGAUGGGUGACAAGAAGUCCUUUGGCCAGAGGAACAGAUUGCAUACCAACGCUGCCCUGGCUCACUGCCCUGAAGAAAUACAUAGCAAUCCACACUCGGGGAAAAUUCCAUGAAAUAGCAGAGCAGAAACCUCCUGAAGCCAAUGGCAGCACACUCCAAGAAAAACAUCCAAUGAACCAAACCCCAAACAACGCAGACCUCAGAAACGUAAAUAAAAAUUAACUGAAAAAGGAAACCUUCAGAGUCUUGGGAAGGAACACAACAGAUUAAGUGACCACAAAACACUAAAACACCAACUAGUUAUUUACCCACUGCUUUGUGGUAAAUACAAGGCCCGUAGUCUCCAGGAGGUUAUUUCUGGGCGCCAAUGACUUAGCACAUAGGCCAGCAAAGAGCAUGGACUUUAUUUUCCUUCCCAGGGCAAGUGGCAUUUAUAAUGGUCCUGAGAACCAGAAGGAAGUUCCUUUGAACCUCUUAGUCUUAUAGCUAUUUAUAAGGAUGAGAGAGGAGCAGAGAGUGGGAAAAACAUUGGGGUUAAAGUCAGAAGCCUUGGGUUUGUGUGCCCUGCCCCUUACUAACUCUCCUAUCCUGGGCAAGCUACUAAACCAUGCUGAGUUUCAGUCUCCUCAUUUGGAGAGAUGAAUGGAUAAUAGUAAUUUGUCCCUCACAAGGUUGAUAUGAAUAUUAAAUGUAAAAAGGGAUAUAAAGAGAAAUUCAUAAGAGGCAAACUACACCAAGACAGCCAGUUGUUCCUGUUACUGUUCUACUUCAUUUUUGUCGGAUCAUAGGAGAAUUAGCAUCUACCUACUUUGGGUGAAUUUCUUGAUAGCUGAGAUGUGCCCCUUUGAGCAUCUAUUCCAACCAGUUUGGUUAAAAUCUAUAACCAUUCACCUCUUUUAAAAGAUUAUAGAAUGCAGAUUAGAGUUUUCUUGAUGACUUAAAAUCAAAGUUAUAAACACCUGCUGUUGUUCUAAGUAGCACUACCGUUCUGUGUGUUUGUUUUGGAUUUUUUUUCCUUCUGGGAGUGGACGCAUAGCCUCAACCACUGACCUGUCUUAAUAGCUUCUCCUACCUCUAUUCUGCUUGUCUAUUUCCAAUUUAGUCAAAACCAGAUAACCAACCUCAUUAAAAAUGAGUGCUAACUCUGAAUCAGGGAGUCUCUAUUUAGAAUCUUAGUAAGAAAAUAUGUGGUGUUCACGCGGGGACUUUGAAAGCACCACAGUGGAGCUCAAAGAUCAUUUUUCUGGCUUGAGAUUAGAGAAUGGCAGGUGUUCGACAAGCUGACCUCAGGGUGAACAUGUGGUGCCUGCGUUAGGAAUAUUUUGGAUGGAUUUGGUCUGCUCACAUCUCUCUCACAUUUUGAUGUAACUGUAAGUGUGAUAAUGGUCAUUUUACAGUCAGUGAAGAGUGAAGGCUGAAUCAGAAGGAUUAACAUGAGGGACAAGGAAGUGUCUUGAGGACUUGUGGAGCAUGCCUGCGUGUGUCAAAAUGUAUAUGAUAUCUUAGACUGUUUUGAAUAAAUUAAAUUCCCUAUUUAGGCCCAGAAACGUUCAGUUCAGCAAAAUCAGUUAUUGGAUUGAUUUCUUCUCUGGACUGACUCACUGUUUUAUUAAUUUUCCCUAAAUAAAUUGUUGUUUUAGCACCAUCACCUCUCGCCAUGAUGGAAUCAUGAUAGAAUCACAGAGGUUUCCUAGUAGAGGAAACCUUCCAGGUCGUACAAUCUUCUGGCUUCCAUACACGACUCUGAAGACCCAUGUUGGUCCUGACAAAUUUUCACCAGUCUGUGGAAUGAUAAGAAAAAAAAUAUGGAAAAUAGGAUAAUGCAGCAUUCUUUUCCUAAAAUUAACUCAUCCCAUUUAAAGUGAUGUCUUGUGUUCUGAUGUCUUUCUCUUCCUUCUCUUCUGGUGUCCUUUACCCUUUUGUCUGAGAUGAUUGUAAUGGUAAGUAGCUGUUAACCUGAAAAAUGCCUAUUCAUCAAAUAACAGAGUUGACCGUGCUAUGUUAGGCUCCUGGUCUGUGGGUGUUUUGUGUGGUUGUUUGAUCUCUGGAUUUCAGAAUGUGAGAACUACAGAUCUAGACCAGCUCCUUCCAUUUUCAGACGAGGGAACAGAGACUCUGAGAAAAUUUACACAACUGAAGUUCACACAACGAGGAAGUUGGAAAGCUAAGACCAGAGCCUGGACUUGCUGCUCUGUCUCCUUCAGGGCUGUGUCCUUCCAUAGCUAGAAUGUCAGUAUUAUUACCAGUUCUGUGGGAUGUCAGUAUUAUUACCGGUUCAUGAGACUCUGGAAGAGGAAGGUAGUGGAGAAAAGGGAGCCUCUAUUUCUUGACCAUGAUGAUGUGCCUGACCCAAUGAUGCUUCAUGUGUAUUAUUUCCUUUAUUCCUCCAACAGCCCUAAAAAGAAGCUAAAAUUGGACGCAUAUUAUAA
rnacentral:lncRNA from 1 species